UUCAGGGCCCCGCGAGGGCUGAAGUUUCUUCUCGCUCUGUAGCAGUUCCGAGAACCCGCCCCGAGAGCCAGACGGAGGGGCCGCUCGCGGUGGUUCACUCCCCCCCAAGGCGAGAGACACCUCCGAGCCUGUCCUUAGAGAAACGGAGUCCGCUUCGGGCGCCCCGCCCGGCUUGUUCCCCGGAGGGGCUGCAGGCAGGCUUCCCGUUCGCGGUUCUGGGGGCGCGUGAGGCCAGUCUUCUCCGUGGUUCUCCGAUCCGGACGGCGCGGACCACCGGCGCCCGGAGCCUAAGCCUUUCCCCGAGGGGAGGAGGAGCGCCGGACGGUCCCGCGUCCUCCCACGGCCCAGCUGCGGAAAUCGGCGCGGGCCGACCAGGCGCUCCGAGCGCCCCGCAGGCGCCUUUGCGGGCCGAGUUCGAGCUUGCUCGUCUCCAGCGCCCUCACUCCCAGAUCGUGAUCUGCGGUCGGCCGGUGCGUCCUAGGGGAGGAGCGGCACCCGUGGACCUCAGGAACCUUCUCGUGCGUCCCUUCCGCCCGCGAGGGGCUUGCUUGAAACGGGGCGCACCGGCAGCCAAGUUCGGCUCCGACCGCGACCGGCUCGCAGCCGCCAACAACCAGGCACCCGCACGCGGCUCCCUCGGCUGCGCGCCCCCGACCCCCGCUUCGGCCCCGACGCUCCCGACCUCUUCGUCGUGGCGUCCGCGGGCCGGCGGCCCCGCCCCGGCGUCUGUCACGCGAGACCCUCCCAAGAUGGCGGCGGCCGGGGGCGGGGCUCCGCCGCCGGGGGCGGGCCGGGGGUCGGGCCUGCGGGCGGGCCGAGCCGAGGUGGGCAGCCCCAGCGCGCCUGCGCGGAGCGGCCCUGCGUGCAGCGAGGCAGUGGCGGGGGGACGGCACCGGCGGGCCGACGGGCGGCUUGAAGCAGGGAAGCGGGCGAGCGGAGUCCCGGUGCGCGCCGCGGCCGCCCGGCGCCCUCCCCUUCCGGGUGCGAGGCGCUGUGCGGGGCCGAGCCGAGCGGACCCGCGCCGGCAGCGAGGCGCAGCUCCCGCCGCCCCGGCCCGGCCUCCCCCGGCUCCGGCGCUCCCGUCGCGGGGGCCCGCGUUCCUCGGCACAGCCGGCUCCAGGCGCCCCCGAGCCUGCGCUCGGCCUCCGAAAGCCCCGGCGCCGGCCCGGGCCCUCGGCGGGAGGAUGACGGAGCUGCAGUCGGCGCUGCUGCUGCGAAGACAGCUGGCAGAACUCAACAAAAAUCCAGUGGAAGGCUUUUCAGCAGGUUUAAUAGAUGACAAUGAUCUUUACCGGUGGGAAGUCCUUAUCAUUGGUCCCCCUGACACACUUUAUGAAGGUGGUGUUUUUAAGGCUCAUCUCACUUUCCCAAAAGAUUAUCCCCUCCGGCCUCCUAAAAUGAAAUUCAUUACAGAAAUCUGGCACCCAAAUGUUGAUAAAAAUGGUGAUGUAUGCAUUUCCAUUCUCCAUGAGCCUGGGGAAGAUAAAUAUGGUUAUGAAAAGCCAGAGGAGCGCUGGCUCCCUAUUCACACUGUGGAAACCAUCAUGAUUAGUGUCAUUUCAAUGCUGGCGGACCCUAACGGAGACUCACCUGCUAACGUUGAUGCUGCGAAAGAAUGGAGGGAAGACAGAAAUGGAGAAUUCAAAAGGAAAGUUGCCCGCUGUGUAAGAAAAAGCCAAGAGACUGCUUUUGAGUGACAUUUGUUCAACAGCUGUAACUUCAUUAUUUCAGGUACGUUGCCAUGAUAAGCACCCGAGCCCAGUCAUCUCUCUGGAUUAACUAAGAGUGGAAUCAUUUGAAAAUUGGACGUUAAAAAAUUCACAUCAAAAUCCAUGACUUAACUCAUGUCUUCUAAAAGCAGGUCUCCAAUUGAGAAACAUGGCACUGUUUUUCCUGCACUCUACCCACCUAUUGCUGGACUUCUGUUGUAACAAGUUGGCGGACGCUGGCUGGAGCUGGGCUGCAAUAGAACAUGCCAGUAUCAGAGCUGACAAGAGCCUAACAAGUGCCAACUUACAGAGGAUUACGCAUUUUGAAUUCUAAUGAACUGUUUUAACCUUCAGGAAGAAUUGUAAAGACCUGUACAUAGCACAACAUGAUCCGGAUAAUAUAUAUACUAUUCAUGUACAUCCACAAAUACACCUUGUACCAAAUAAUGCUUUCUUGUAGUAGAAUAAGAAUCGUGUAAAUUCUAAAAGAUUUUAGCAGGUUUUCUUUCCCUAUUCGUUGUUUCUUAUCAGUUUUAAAAGACUCCUUAAAGCAUGUCAGAUGAAAAACAAUUAGGAUUAAAAGUUUCCAUUUAAUUUCCUUUAAACCAUUGAGGCUUCAUUAAACUCUUUUCACUUACUAAACUUUUGUAUCUUCUUUGUUUUGACACACUCCCCUUUGCUUUUCUCUCUUCUCUCUGCCAGAAAGUUUUCACAUCAUUUAGUUCCAGUACGGAAAUACUUAAUAAGCAACUACUUGAUUUUUAACGACGACUUCAGAGGAGUGGUCAUCACUAGGUGCUUGUCGUUUGGUACUCCAGUUGCACCAUCUCUUGGCUCGGGUGUAGCAAUACCACAUUUUGGCUGUUGAGAGCUCUUGAACUCCGUCACCCCUGAGAACUAAAAAGAGUUGGUUCGGAAUUCAGCUUACUGACACUUGCCCCAGACAGUACAAAAUUCUGGUUUGGUUUUGCUUUUGCCUUCCCGUUCGUUCCUGGGCGUUCAGGUUGGAUGGAUUAGUGUGCCCAGCUGCAGGCUUUCUGCUUAACUUGUGGGUUUGCUCUUACAGACGUUGUUGACCUCCCACCCCUUUCUCCGUGGCCCUCCGAAUUUCUUUGCCUCUGUUCUUCUAUAUUGCAGAUUUUUCUCACUUACUGUACAAAGAAAUUGCGAUGUAUAUUUUCAUGUAAUUUGAUUUUGGAAUUCUGUCACCUUAUGUAGUGAGUUCUUCCAAAAUAUAAUUUUUUUCCAAUAAUUGUCAAGUUGUUGGCUCUUAUUGUAUUGAAUGAAGGUUAUAAUACUGAAUGCCAGAGAAGUGCAGUUUAGAAAAAUCUCAGGUUGAUUCCUUAUGCAAACAGACUUAAUACUUGAAAAUCCCAUGGCCAUGGCAGUGUAGUAUUGGGCUCUAUCUAGGUUCUUACGUGGAUCUCAAAGCAUUAUAGGGGUGUGAAUGCUUUGCUAUUUGACAUACAGAUUCUGUCACUGACAUAGUGCACUUGGAUUUUAUUAGUGUUUGAGCAUAAGUAUAUUUCAUAUCAUGUUUUCUAAAACAGCUUCAGGAAAUGACGAAGUGAACGUGUGCAGUGUUAAUGGGCAGGCCCAAGUUCCCCUGUGUUGGGUGUGAGGUUGGGAUUGGGAAGUGCAGUAGUUGGCCUGUAAGGGACAGAAACGGAGACAGUACCAGAUGGGACACGAUUCCGUGAGAAUCGGCGUGUCUCUGCUCUGUGGGGCUUGGAGAGAUGCUUUGGCAGAGAGUGAAAGGGUCCCUACAAGUAACCCAUCCUUGUGGACUCUGCAUGUCCUUCUUUAAGCAAAAGUAAAAUGGUUGAGGAUGUAGACACAGUAGAGAGUGAUUUUUCUAAAUCCUUGUCUGUUCUUUACUCUGAAGCAUUAUAAAAACCCAUAAAUGUGUAAUGACUGAAUGUGAAAAUUGCUUGAUUUGAUUCAUUGCAGCUGGUUUUCUUCAAGAACUUCAUUUGUGACUUCUUUUUAUUCAAAGACUGUAAAACUCGUUGCCCCAAAGUGCUGGUACUGCACACCUGCCUGGGAUUUGAAUGCAAUCCCUCUUACUCUUAAAUCAGAAACUGUUCACAUGGUUGCUGGUGGCAGAACGGAGACUGGAUUUUGCUCUCCUCUUGCUGUGAUUCUGCUAGUGAUCUGUUGAGUUAAAACCUGGGAUUUGACUCUUCAGGGAGCAGCAAAUGACCUACUAACUCAGGGACAACUCUUACUGAACUCUAAGUGCCACUUUCAUGCAGGUACUUUGGUGUAACCAUGUGUGUUUUGGGGCUAGAUCUAGGGGAGUCGAAGGGAGAGCCAGGAACCAGUGCCCCUCCCUUCAUGCUCCUUUCCACCUGGCGCCCUGGCGUGCUACAUGUGGACACACAGGCCUUGGGAGGUGGUGUGACCUGUCUCCUCUGCCAGGGGCGUCACCUGUGCCUUUCCCCGUGUUCAUCUGACAGUGUGAACUGCACGCCUCCACGUUUGAUACUAAACCACUCUCAGGUGACACUGAUCCAGGUGGCUUUUGUCCCACCAGUGCCUCAUCACUAGUGUGAGGUGAGUCCUCUCUGCUUUAGGAAAAGGAUUUUUCUCCCUAACUCUGUGCCAACUAUCAACAACAUCUAUACAGUCUUAUGGGUUUUUAGAAUUGUUGGCUGUUUCCUAAAUUGAUUCCAAGUUCUUGUAAAGGCUUUUAGAUUUCAGUCUGUGCUCAUAAUGGGAUGGAUGAUCUCAGUGGCUUUCUGGCCUCUUUUCUGUGAGUUUAAAAUCCACGUGAGAUUGGUUUCCUUGUCAUUACAAGGCGGUCUCUUUGUGAGGCGAUUCCACUGGUUCUCUGAUCACUUGGGUGUCCUGGUAUCUUUAAUGGCCUUCAUUCUCGGUUGUGAAAUUUUAUUCUAUAUGCUCACUUACCCUCUACAAAUCUGCACAUUUUGGGUUGUGGUGCCUGUGUAUCUAUUUUUGCCUGUCUGGUCUCCAGUUGGUGGAAUUACCUUCUUUGUACCUGCCACUUCUCAGCAUCUUUGAAAUUUGACAUAAUGUUGCUUCAUUCCAGCUUUUUUUAGUUCUGUAACUUGUUGAUUGUAUUUAACUAUGAGUUCUGUUGUGAUGUUUGCUGUAUUGUAAAGCACCUCCAUCAUGUGGUGGGUGCUCUGUAAAUCAAUAAAUGAUGACUUAGAGGCUGUA